UACGUAGGGGGCAAGCGUUAUCCGGAAUUACUGGGCGUAAAGGGUGCGUAGGUGGCCUGACAAGUCAGGGGUCAAAGGCAACGGCUCAACCGUUGUAAGCCCUUGAAACUGUCGGGCUUGAGUUCAGGAGAGGAAAGCGGAAUUCCAAGUGUAGCGGUGAAAUGCGUAGAUAUUUGGAGGAACACCAGUGGCGAAGGCGGCUUUCUGGACUGAUACUGACACUGAGGCACGAAAGCGUGGGGAGCAAACAGG
rnacentral:rRNA from 1 species